GCGGGUGCUGAGGCGGCGGGGGGGGCUGACAGCCCCGAACAGGGAGGAGGCGGCUCCCGUCCUGACGUUUGAACCGGCAGAGAGGAGCGUUGCACAUGGAAACGGCACCCUCGCCUUUCCCCCCUUGCCAUUUCGAAGCCUGAAAUUCCAGUGCCCGUGAGCGUGCUCCGCCGCAGCCCUCCUCCUGGCGCGAUUCCUCCUUGCUCCCCAAGUACGUCACUGACGUUUAUGGGGCAAAGGGCACCUGUGCACCAACCUGCUGCCUCACUCAAGCACCAACGUCUUUUUCUUCACGGAGGCAUUGCUAAGUCUUCUGUAGCUAUAAAUAGCAUCGGUGUGGCAGCAGUCAAGACCUUCAAAGGAAAAUGGAGACUAGUUUUGGAGGGAGAAAUACAGUGGUGGGGCAGAGAACAGCUACUGGAAAGAUAGUCCCAUGGACUGUAAUUAUUAGUCUGGUUCAGAGAUGUGCAGAAAGAAAAAGGAAAAAAGCCUCAUAAGGAGAGUGUGCAGCAAGUCCAGUAGUACUUGAUACAAAAGGAGUCCCUGAGCUCAAACAUCCACUCUGAAGAAAAAUAUAUUCUUGUUUCCUACUUUGUGUUGUGACUAUUCUUUAAAUGAAGGACUAUUCUCGACAAAUGGCUUCAUUUCAAAGGAGAGUAACAAGGACAUUUUC